rnacentral:rRNA from 1 species
UUUCCGUAGGUGAACCUGCGGAAGGAUCAUUAAAAA